UACGUAGGUGACCAGCGUUGUCCGGAUUUACUGGGCGUAAAGAGCGCGCAGGCGGUCGUUCAAGUCGAGUGUGAAAGCCCCCGGCUCAACUGGGGAGGGUCACUCGAUACUGAUCGACUUGAAGGCAGGAGAGGGAAGCGGAAUUCCCGGUGUAGUGGUGAAAUGCGUAGAUAUCGGGAGGAACACCAGUGGCGAAGGCGGCUUCCUGGCCUGUUCUUGACGCUGAGGCGCGGAAAGCUAGGGGAGCAAACAGGG
rnacentral:rRNA from 1 species